UACCUGGUUGAUCCUGCCAGUAGUCAUAUGCUUGUCUCAAAGAUUAAGCCAUGCAUGUCUAAGUACAGGCCUACCUAAGGCGAAACCGCGAAUGGCUCAUUAAAUCAGUCAUGAUUCAUUGGAUGUAGAGUAAAAGAUAUUUUCCAAGGAAAAAUUUUUACUCGGAUAACUGUGGUAAUUCUAGAGCUAAUACAGGCAAUUGAGCUCCGACCCCUUCCCGCCGGCAAGUAGAGGAGUUUUCUCUCCUCCAACUACCGACGACGAGGGGGGAAGGGCGCUUUUAUUAGAUUCAAAGACCGAUAAGGCGCGGCGACUCCGGUCCCCGCCGAAUCAAAAGGUUAAUGAUGACUCUGAAUAACCAAGCCGAGCGCUGAGGUCUUAGUACCGGCGCCGUAUCCUUCGAGUGUCUGCCUUAUCAGCUUUCGAUUGUAGGCUAUACGCCUACAAUGGCUGUAACGGGUAACGGGGAAUCAGGGUUCGAUUCCGGAGAGGGAGCCUGAGAAACGGCUACCACAUCUAAGGAAGGCAGCAGGCACGCAAAUUACCCACUCCCGGCACGGGGAGGUAGUGACGAAAAAUAACGAUGCGGGACUCUUCCGAGGCCUCGCAAUCGGAAUGAGUUCGCUUUAAAUCCUCGAACGAGGAUCCAUUGGAGGGCAAGUCUGGUGCCAGCAGCCGCGGUAAUUCCAGCUCCAAUAGCGUAUAUUAAUGUUGCUGCGGUUAAAAAGCUCGUAGUUUGACUUCCAAAACUCGGUCCGGGGGGGCCAGCCGUCGUGGGCGCGCGGGCGAGUCCGCGCGUCGAAGUCGCCGUCCUCGCCUUCGCCGUUCGUUUCGCGUACGCGCGCGAGCGUUCGCUUCGCCCAUUCGUGGGCGUUCGCGCGCGUCUUCGUCGUCGCUGCCCGAUUCGUCUCCGGCGGAGAUCACGAGUUCGAGCGGUCCCUCGGCGUGGCGUAUCGAUUCUCGCGUCGUCCGCGGCAGGGCGGCCCUCCCCCGGCCCCCGAGUUACUUAAGACCCGUCGGCACUCACGGGGUGCUCUUCACCGAGUGCCCCGCGUGGCCGACAAUUACACUGUGAAAAAAUUAGAGUGCUCAAAGCAGGCUCAGUAAAAUAAAUGCCUGAAUGGUGGUGCAUGGCAUGUUAGAACAGGACCUCGGAUCCGUUAAAUUUAUAAACUUUCUCCUAUCGGUCUUUUAAAGACCCGAGGUAAUGAUUAAUGGAAGCGGACGGGGGCAUUAGUAUUGCGUCGCUAGAGGUGAAAUUCUUGGACCGUCGCAAGACUAACUAGUGCGAAAGCAAUUGCCAAGAACGCUUUCAUUAAUCAAGAACGAAAGUUAGAGGAUCGAAGGCGAUCAGAUACCGCCCUAGUUCUAACCGUAAACGAUGCUAACUGGCGAUCCGCCGGAGUCGCAUUCAUAGAGACUCUGCGGGCAGCCCCCGGGAAACCGAAGUCUUCGAGUUCCGGGGGAAGUAUGGUUGCAAAGCUGAAACUUAAAGGAAUUGACGGAAGGGCACCACCAGGAGUGGAGCCUGCGGCUUAAUUUGACUCAACACGGGGAACCUCACCAGGUCCGGGCACCGAAGGAUUGACAGAUUGAGGGCUCUUUCUCGAUUCGGUGGAUGGUGGUGCAUGGCCGUUCUUAGUUGGUGGAGCGAUCUGUCUGGUUUAUUCCGAUAACGAACGAGACUCUAACCUGCUAACUAGUCGGCGGAUCGCAUCCCCGCGACCCGCGUUGCGCUUUCACUGGGGCUUGUUCGCGAGUGGAAUAACGGCGCCCUUUGCCUCUUCCNUUCUCUCGGUCUCGGCGUUCCGUCGCGGCGGAGGAGCGGCGCUAGGUGGUGAGGGGGUGGGGGAGUGGGAUGCGGCAUGGGGAGGCGGUGGCUCAGGUCGCCGUCUUCCCCUUGUCGUACUCCCGCUCUUCUUCUCCCUUUUCCACCUUCGUCCCCCCUUUCGUCGUUGCGGGUCAUCCGUCGUGGGUUCGGGUUUGGGGAUUGGGUUCUGGGCGUCGCCUCUCCCCCCUUUGGAGGACGGCGCGGCCGGGGACGUCCGUCGCAACUUCUUCUUAGAGGGAUAAGCGGCGUCUAGCCGCACGAGAAAGAGCAAUAACAGGUCUGUGAUGCCCUUAGAUGUUCUGGGCCGCACGCGCGCUACAAUGAAGGGAUCAGCGCGCUUUCCCCCUCCGAAAGGAGCGGGUAACCGAAUGAAACCCCUUCCCGAUAGGGAUUGGGGAUUGCAAUUGUUUCCCAUGAACGAGGAAUUCCCAGUAAGCGCGAGUCAUUAGCUCGCGUUGAUUACGUCCCUGCCCUUUGUACACACCGCCCGUCGCUACUACCGAUUGAAUGAUUCGGUGAGGGCAUCGGACUGGCGCCCUCGAAGCGCCGGCGGCGGCCCAAACGCCGUCGUCGUGUCGCUCCCGGGCUGACGGAAAGAUGUCCGAACCCGAUCAUUUAGAGGAAGUAAAAGUCGUAACAAGGUUUCCGUAGGUGAACCUGCGGAAGGAUCAUUA
rnacentral:rRNA from 1 species